GAUGUGAAAGCCCACGGCUCAACCGUGGAGGGUCAUUGGAAACUGGGGAACUUGAGUGCAGGAGAGGGGAGCGGAAUUCCACGUGUAGCGGUGAAAUGCGUAGAGAUGUGGAGGAACACCAGUGGCGAAGGCGGCUCUCUGGCCUGUAACUGACGCUGAGGCGCGAAAGCGUGGGGAGCGAACAGGAUUAGAUACCCUGGUAGUCCACGCCGUAAACGAUGAGUGCUAGGUGUUGGAGGGGUCAUACCCUUCAGUGCUGCAGCUAACGCAUUAAGCACUCCGCCUGGGGAGUACGGCCGCAAGGCUGAAACUCAAAGGAAUUGACGGGGGCCCGCACAAACGGUGGAGCAUGUGGUUUAAUUCGAAGCAACGCGAAGAACCUUACCAGGCCUUGACAUCCUCCGACAACCCUGGAGACAGGGCUUCCCCUUCGGGGGCAGAGUGACAGGUGGUGCAUGGUUGUCGUCAGCUCGUGUCGUGAGAUGUUGGGUUAAGUCCCGCAACGAGCGCAACCCUCGUCCUUAGUUGCCAGCAUUCAGCUGGGCACUCUAAGGAGACUGCCGGUGACAAACCGGAGGAAGGUGGGGAUGACGUCAAAUCAUCAUGCCCCUUAUGGCCUGGGCUACACACGUGCUACAAUGGGCGGUACAAAGGCUUGCGAAACCGCGAGGUGGAGCUAAUCCCAAAAAGCCGCUCUCAGUUCGGAUUGCA
rnacentral:rRNA from 1 species